ACCUUAAAGAAUUUUGGCGGUGUUUUAAAUAGUUUGGAGGAACCUUGUUAUUUAAAUUGAUAUUCCACAGCAUAUCUUUCCUAAAUUGAGUUUGUAUAUCGUUGUUUAGGUAAUAUUUAAAGAUCAUUACCGAGUUUAAUUAAAUUUCUAAAAUCAAAUCAGGGUGCAGCAUAUUUAGGUUGUAAUGGGUUACAAUACAGGUUAUGUAUUAUGAAUAUAAAAUGAAAAUAUUAUUGAAAGUGGAUUCAAAAGUAAAUUAAAAUUAAAAAGUUUUUUUGAUUAAUAAUUUAAAACAUGCACACAU
rnacentral:rRNA from 1 species